GAUGAACGCUGGCGGCGUGCCUAAUACAUGCAAGUCGAGCGAACGGACGAGAAGCUUGCUUCUCUGAUGUUAGCGGCGGACGGGUGAGUAACACGUGGAUAACCUACCUAUAAGACUGGGAUAACUUCGGGAAACCGGAGCUAAUACCGGAUAAUAUUUUGAACCGCAUGGUUCAAAAGUGAAAGACGGUCUUGCUGUCACUUAUAGAUGGAUCCGCGCUGCAUUAGCUAGUUGGUAAGGUAACGGCUUACCAAGGCAACGAUGCAUAGCCGACCUGAGAGAGUGAUCGGCAACACUGGAACUGAGACAAGGUCCAGACUCCUACGGGAGGCAGCAGUAGGGAAUCUUCCGCAAUGGGCGAAAGCCUGACGGAGCAACGCAGCGUGAGUGAUGAAGGUAUUCGGAUCGUAAAACUCUGUUAUUAGGGAAGAACAUAUGUGUAAGUAACUGUGCACAUCUUGACGGUACCUAAUCAGAAAGCCACGGCUAACUACGUG
rnacentral:rRNA from 1 species